rnacentral:lncRNA from 1 species
GUCAGCUUUGGGUAAAAGAGUUUGGGUUUUAGUAGAGCUUGUUACUAGAAUGAAGAUGUGGCUUUGAUAAAUUCGGAACACACCCAAACUACAAAUCAGAGUUUUUGUUAACUUCCAGAAAACCUCCUCCUUGGCAUGCAGUCGGCUGACUUUGUUUUUCUCUAUUUUUUUGCAGAACCCUUAGCAACUCCUACACUAGCUGUGCUAGUUAAGACCAAUGGUAUCUCCAGGAUUACUGCCAGAAGGAAAAAAAAAAAAAAGGAAAAAUGUUUAGACCCUUGCUUCAGAGAAGCCCUGUCAUGAAAGGGAGCUGGAGUCAUCUUUGAGAUCUUUCCCCUGGAGUAAAGCAAAUGACAUGAAGAAAGCUGAGAAAGGCAGUUCAAAGCCAGGAUCAUACCCUGGGACAAGAUCAGGACUCUGGAAGGUUUCUGGGUCUUGGAAAGCUGGGUUCAUAGGAGAGGUGGUAAACCCACUUUUAAUAUAAAGAAGAAGUCUCUUAAAAAUGGAGAGCGAAUGAGUUUAGAACUGAGGACACCAGGACUAGUCAGUUGGCAAGUGGCAAUCAGCCACAGGAUAUUUCACUGAAGGAAUGAGAACAAAUCAACUACAAACUUCCAUGGAAAAAGCAUGCAAAUUUUAGAUGUCAGUCUCCAAUUAUCAGUGACCAAAAGGGCAAAGGACCCCCCUCCGGUGCCACACUCAAUAUUCCUCACCGGAAAAGAAAGAGAAGUCAGUGCUCUGGGUGGAAUGACACGCUCCUUGGUAGUGCCUCCUCCACCACCAGGGAGGCAAAGAAAAGCCAAAAAAGUCCAAAGCAUUAACAACUUAGAAGCUAUUUUUCAUGUUGCCAACUUAGAUGCUAUUUUUCAUGCUGCUAUCAUUACCUCAAGUUUGAUGCUACAGUGA